rnacentral:rRNA from 1 species
GGAUAACAGGCUGAUACCGCCCAAGAGUUCAUAUCGACGGCGGUGUUUGGCACCUCGAUGUCGGCUCAUCACAUCCUGGGGCUGAAGUAGGUCCCAAGGGUAUGGCUGUUCGCCAUUUAAAGUGGUAUUCUCAUCGUCACGCAGAACUUUACCAAAACGCAGC